AGUAUACCGGAAGGUGUACUUGGAAC
rnacentral:rRNA from 1 species